ACUCCUACGGGAGGCAGCAGUGGGAAUAUUGGACAAUGGGGGCAACCCUGAUCCAGCAAUGCCGCGUGUGUGAAGAAGGCCUGCGGGUUGUAAAGCACUUUCAGUUGGGAGGAAGGCUGCGCAGUUAAUAUCUGCGUAGAUUGACGUUACCGACAGAAGAAGCACCGGCUAACUCUGUGCCAGCAGCCGCGGUAAUACAGAGGGUGCGAGCGUUAAUCGGAAUUACUGGGCGUAAAGGGUGCGUAGGUGGUUUAUCAAGUCAGAUGUGAAACUCCCGGGCUUAACCUGGGACCUGCAUUUGAAACUGGUGAACUAGAGUUUGGAAGAGGGAAGUGGAAUUUCCGGUGUAGCGGUGAAAUGCGUAGAUAUCGGAAGGAACAUCAGUGGCGAAGGCGACUUCCUGGUCCGACACUGACACUGAGGCACGAAAAGCGUGGGGGAGCAAACAGGAUUAGAUACCCUGGUAGGCUCUGCU
rnacentral:rRNA from 1 species